GCGAUUUCAACAAGGUCCCGGAAGCAGAGGCAGACAGCACCAGCAAACUCUAGCAGAGCAAAAACACCCUUAUUGCCAGCGAUGUCAACGAGGUCCCGGAAGCAGAGGCAGACUGCACCAGCAAUCUCUAGCAGAAGGACUGAAGAUCUCCAGAGAAGUACACGACUUUGAAGAUAAUGAGCUUCUCUAGUCCAGCCAUGGACUAUAUUUUACACACUACAUUUUAUACAAAUGCACUUAGUGUUUUAUUGUUGUUUAUGGACUACCUCCUAUCCUGGGAACCCAUCUGU